rnacentral:lncRNA from 1 species
UGGACUUUCGCACGGGCUCAUCCCAUCCCAUUUCCCGUCCAUGGGUGACCACUGGGUGUAGGAGAUCAGCCCACGUGGGUAUGGGGAGGGGCUGUUGCUGCUGCUGCAGGUCCUGGAUUGCCCUCUUAUGCUGUCGGAUGCGCUCUGUCUCCUCCCGCUGUCGAAUUAAGUACGCCUUCAAGCCCCCCAAUCAUACCAAUGACUGCAAACCCAUUCGGGUGAGAACUUAA